rnacentral:rRNA from 1 species
CAGCCGCCGCGGUAAUACGAAGGGGGCUAGCGUUGUUCGGAUUAACUGGGCGUAAAGGGCGCGUAGGCGGGUUUUUAAGUCAGAGGUGAAAUCCCAAGGCUCAACCUUGGAACUGCCUUUGAUACUGGAAGUCUUGAGUCCGGGAGAGGUGAGUGGAACUGCGAGUGUAGAGGUGAAAUUCGUAGAUAUUCGCAAGAACACCAGUGGCGAAGGCGGCUCACUGGCCCGGUACUGACGCUGAGGCGCGAAAGCGUGGGGAGCAAACAGGAUUAGAUACCCCUGUAGUCCCUGUCUCUUAUAC